UUUCAUGAUGUUUUAGGGGGUUUUUGGGGAGUAGUUUAUAGUUAUGUUCAGGUAUGUUUGGUCCCUCAUUUGAGUCCACCUGUGUAGGUUCGGACCCGAGGAACCGAGGACCCCAGCAGUGAGUUCAGCUGCUUCGGUGUUGUCAGAGUCUGCCAGAGGUGAGUGGAACUAAACUUAAUCCUUUAAAUUGAGAAAUUAAAUGUUUUAUCAUGUUUCAUGCAUCAUGAUUAUGCAAUAGGAUGAUUGCAUUAGAUUUCACGAAUAUACCGCAUUGCAUCGAUUGUUGUUGAUGUGGGUGAAUGUUGGAUGACCCAAUUAGUCCAUGACAGGAAGACCAGGACCCCAUUCUACGGCCUGGCACAGAGUAAGGAAAGACCAGGACCCCAUUCUACGGCCUGGCACGGUUGUGGGACUCGAAGACCAGGAGCCCAGAUGAGGCCAUGGGGCAAUGGUAAGUAAUGUAUAUAUGACAGGAAGACCAGGACCCCAUGCUACGGCCUGGCACAGAGUUAGCUUGGACUAAUUGGUGACAAGUUCACCCAACCCUUAUGUGAAUUGUCUGUGUUAUGAU
rnacentral:lncRNA from 1 species